rnacentral:rRNA from 1 species
AACGAACGCUGGCGGCGUGCCAAUACAUGCAAGUCGAGCGAAUGGAUUAAGAGCUUGCUCUUAUGAAGUUAGCGGCGGACGGGUGAGUAACACGUGGGUAACCUGCCCAUAAGACUGGGAUAACUCCGGGAAACCGGGGCUAAUACCGGAUAACAUUUUGAACCGCAUGGUUCGAAAUUGAAAGGCGGCUUCGGCUGUCACUUAUGGAUGGACCCGCGUCGCAUUAGCUAGUUGGUGAGGUAACGGCUCACCAAGGCAACGAUGCGUAGCCGACCUGAGAGGGUGAUCGGCCACACUGGGACUGAGACACGGCCCAGACUCCUACGGGAGGCAGCAGUAGGGAAUCUUCCGCAAUGGACGAAAGUCUGACGGAGCAACGCCGCGUGAGUGAUGAAGGCUUUCGGGUCGUAAAACUCUGUUGUUAGGGAAGAACAAGUGCUAGUUGAAUAAGCUGGCACCUUGACGGUACCUAACCAGAAAGCCACGGCUAACUACGUGCCAGCAGCCGCCGUAA